UGAUGAAGUUAAAGACUUUGGAGCAUGCUUGUAAACUUUGAAUUGUGUGUGUGCUCCAUUUCCUUUGUUCCUAAUCUCCUUAAUAUUGCAGAAAAUUUUUUGUUGGAAGACUUUCUCAGGAGGCCACAGCUAAUGAUCUUCGCCAGUAUUUUGGUAGAUUUGGCCGCAUUCUGGAUGUUUAUGUUCCAAAGGAUCCCAAGAGAAUUGGUCACAAAGGCUUUGGUUUUGUGACUUUUGCAGAAGAUGGUGUUGCAGAACGUGUUGUUCGAAGGCCUCAUGAGAUUUACGGGCAUCAGGUUGCAAUAGAUUCGGUUGCACGUUGCAAUAGAUUCGGCUGCACCUAUUGAUGAUGCUGGCCUUAGUGGAGAUUUGUUGGAUAAUACUGAACCAUACGUGGGUUAUGGUGGUCCUAUGCGUACUUAUGGACGGAUGUAUCAAAACCUGGUGUUAGAAUGAGUUGUUCAUUUUGUUGCUGGUAGCCUGGUAUGAAUAUUGAAUAGU